UAACCUAACAAAGUGGAAAUAAAGGGCUUAAAAAUAAGAUCAACUACAUGUUUGUUACCAGACGUUGGGGCAAGACUUGCACUGGUUGUUCCAGACCAGGACUCUGGCUGAGGAGAGCUGAUGGAGGAGCCAAGACUCUGGAGGACGACAUCACUCUACCAACAAGGAUCCUUAACAGGAAUCUGGAGGACUGACGGAGAAGCUGUACCUCUGGAAGGCGAAUCCUGAGGACAACCAGGACUCUACCAUCAAGGUUUCCUCGGGCAGACACACCUGAGCUGAACCUCACCUGAUCCUGUUUGGUCGGGGGCAGACACACCUGAGCUGAACCCCACCUGCUCCUGUUUGGUCGGGGGGCAGACACACCUGAGCUGAACCCCACCUGAUGCUGAUACCCUGCUGGUCCUGUCUCAGUUCAUCUGAGCCUCGUCCUCCAGAAGACCUGCUGAGCUCAGCGGUCUGAGGCUGAUAGAUCAAUGACCUCCAGUGGGAGUGACCUUCUUGACCCCACGUGUACCUGUGUGCUUCCACACGCCUUUCCCUCACGUCCGUCACUAACCUCACUACUUCCUAACCUCACUACUUCACUACUCUC